GACGAACGCUGGCGGCGUGCCUAAUACAUGCAAGUCGAGCGAACCAAUAGGAGCUUGCUCCUGUUGGUUAGCGGCGGACGGGUGAGUAACACGUGGGCAACCUGCCUGUAAGACUGGGAUAACACCGGGAAACCGGUGCUAAUACCGGAUAAUCUUUUUCCUCUCAUGAGGAAAAACUGAAAGUCGGUUUCGGCUGACACUUACAGAUGGGCCCGCGGCGCAUUAGCUAGUUGGGGAGGUAACGGCUCACCAAGGCGACGAUGCGUAGCCGACCUGAGAGGGUGAACGGCCACACUGGUACGGAGACACGGCCCAGACUCCUACGGUGGGCAGGAGUAGGGAAUCUUCCACAAUGGACGAAAGUCUGAUGGAGCAACGCCGCGUGAGCGAUGAAGGCCUUCGGGUCGUAAAGCUCUGUUGUUAGGGAAGAACAAGUACCGGAGUAACUGCCGGUGCCUUGACGGUACCUAACCAGAAAGCCACGGCUAACUACGUGCCAGCCGCCGCCGUAA
rnacentral:rRNA from 1 species